rnacentral:misc_RNA from 1 species
CUUUUUGGUAUUUGUUUGUGUACAUCUGCCAUCGCACAACUUACAAAAGGGCGAAACAAGGAAGACAAGGAUAGCCCAGACCUGCAAUCUCUUGCAACUGCAGCCUUGGAGAAAGAAUACAAGCAUAGGGCUUCUGGAAAGGUUCCUGUGCUUGCUUCUGCAUUAAAAAGCUUGAAAGUUUCGUAACUUCUUUGCAAUUGAAGGAAGCUUUCUAUCCUUGACCAUGUUCCAGGAUCUUCAUCAUAGCCUAAAUGGAAGGCUAGAAAUCUGCAGAUUUAUAAUUUAAAAGAGUGUUUAGUUUUUUUUGUUUUGUUUUCCUUGCAUGGAUUUUUCUUCGUGCUCUUUUUUCUCCCUCAUUGAAUUUCUUACAGGAGGACAUGAUGUAUUAUUUUAGAAUGCUUCAUUAAGCAGGCAAGGAACAUCGUGAGAGAGAUAUUUUUCUCCCAUUGCAUAGUUUCAGAUUUAAUUCACUUCCAAUGGGAGAAAAAUAUCUCUCUCACGAU